UAUUUACUCAAUCGAAAAUAAAGUAAGGAGAAAACAAAGGCACGAAAUCGUAAAAAAGUGCGCCCAAAUGUCCAUACACCACCAGGGUUUUGUUUUCUCUAUUAAACCUUAUAUAUCCUGCAAUCAGCCGAGGUGACGGGCGGGCGGGAGCCGGGAGCCGGGAGAGACUAUUCCGAUACAAGAUCGUCGCACGUUUUAGCGGACAACAUUCCUGGUUUGAUACAGUCUACUGUGUUGAAAUGUAAACCGGGUUUAAAACUGGAAACAAAAUACGUUUGCAACAAAAUUUGUGAAAGUUAUGAUACCUCUUAGGGUCGAUAGAAGUCGCGCCAACAAAACGUGAUUCCGGUUCCUUUCAGGUUCUUCAGAUAGGCAGAGAUAGAUGACCUUUAUUUAUACACGAUAAUACUUUAAGCAACAAGCUUGUGUGGUCGUGUAAAACUGAAAAUAAAAGAAAGAAAAGUUACACAUUACGUAAAUAUAACUUGAAUUUAAAAUAGAAAAACUUCACUUUCAAACUUAACGAGGAAGUACCAUCCCAUCCAGUCCGAAAAGAAAUACUUGCUUCAUGCUAUGGUAACCGGAGAUAGUUAAGUACCUGCCUCAUGGGCCACUAAGCUUGAACGGACACUUUAUUUACCUACCUUAUUCAUGCCAGGCAGGCAACUAAUUGUUCCAGUUACCUGCAGAGAAAAUUUUAAUUGAACUUUCAUUCAAUAUCAUAUUAUAUCCGAUUAUAAUUUCCUUUUAGAAACCAACUUGUCAUCAAAGCCAGUUUCAAGGAUGUUAACGUGGGAACUCUGAAGGGGAUUUGGAUAGAACCAGAGACGAGAGUUGAUUGGACUCUUAAAAAGAUAAAGGUUUCAAAUGGAGAAGAAACGGUAACAGCAAACUUCAAUCAAUUGGUUCGCAAAUAUAGAAGCAACUCCUAUAGCGAAACUUUUUCACGGAAUGGGGCAUAAUGAUCGGUGGAAUGAAUAGAAAUGAAACUCAAGAAAGCAUGUAAUAAAGCAAAGAGUGAACAAAUAAAAAAUUCAUGAAAGUAGUUCGAAGACUGAGUGAAAAGUUAACGUGGCUCUGAGCCCAAUGUACAGAAUUUUUUUAGACUUUGCCAAAAAUUGCAUCUUGUCCUGCUUAUAAAAAUUCGUUCAUAAAAAAGGGUUUCACCGUUCUAUUUUUGAAAUAUGAGUAAUUCAAUCUAAGCUUAAGAGUGUUUUAGCAGGUCAUACUGUUGCUAUGGUAACCUGCUGUGUCACGAAAUUGUUACCAACGUGUUCACCAAGGAUUGAUCAGACUUUUUUGAUACCCUGAUUGUAGCCUCAACUGACAAAGAGUGAUUAUAAUGAGCCAUCAAAAUCUACUUUUUGGAAUGUGCUGGGAACUAUUUUGAGCCACCUUAAAGGUAGAGGAUAGGAUACAAACCGGCCCAAAGCUUUAUCGAUCAGUGUAUUCCAGUUGUCCUCAUCCCCACCUCUCUGGGGACAAACCCUGCAAGCAACCUACUUGACAGUCAUUGAAAUCAAAUGCACAAGUGAUAAAAGGGAUAUACCAAUGGCUAAAACCCGAGGAGGCAUUAAUAGUACCCCCGGGCAUAAAGAAGUAAUGAAAUAUUGGUAGUAUCUGUAGUAUGCGAAUCGAUCCCUAUUUGACAACUACAACAACAACAAUGUUUUAUUUACCCUUGACACUUAAUACACAUUUGCAAAGAAAAUUACAAUAACUUAAAAUAACUUAGGGAAAAGAUAUGUGCUUAAAGUCGAGCCAGGGGGAUAAAUGAACUAGGCGCGCACGGUGGUCCCGGUUAAUGUGUUAAUGUUUCGGUGAGUUGAGCUAGGACACCUAAUAUGGCCUACAUGACGAUUCUAGCACGAUCAAGUAAUUUCGCUUCGAAAUGGUGGACAUUCCAGAACAAAUUGAAAACGAUUUCAAAGCUCCUGAAGAUGGAUUUUAGAGGGAAAACAACUUAAAAGUUAUCGUAUAAGUAACGGAGAAAGUAGUUUUCUCGAAAUUUGAAGCGAGAAUUCUAGCUAAACGAUCGUUCGUGUCGCUUCGCACGUGUUGUAGAUAUUAACACAAUGUUCAAUUGAGGCUAAAUACCCUUCCGAUCGCCUGUUUUACGUUUGGAAUCUUGUAAUUCGGUUCGCUUCUCUGUAUUGAGUAAUCUAUGACUAUGCAAUAAUCCUAAUGCAAAUGUAAAUGAUAGGACCCUAGCUUUCCAGUGUUUCCGUGGGAACUUUAUGAAUGAUAUGGUUUACAAAAAAAAGAAGUGCAAGUUUUAGUUCAUACAAUAAUGUUCAGUUUCCAAUCGGCGCAAAAAAACGAGGGAAGCUUUAGUAAGAACUACUACCAGUAUAAAAUAGCAAGGGAAAACAAAAUUUUUAUUGCCAAGUCAAUAAUUCCAAUAUUUGUGCCUUGUGCCUAGGAUCUUUUAAAAAGGAUAUUGAUUGUUUUUUUAAGAGAUAUUAAAUAGAAAGUUUCCCUCAUCGAGGCUUACGGAAUAUAACCAAAAUAGCAUCGAAUGUUAGGGAUGAAUAAAUGACAAAUAGCUAUAUUAUUUUCUCACCGCAAUCCAUAAAAAUUUGC
rnacentral:lncRNA from 1 species